rnacentral:misc_RNA from 1 species
GAUGAAGAACGCAGCGAAAUGCGAUACGUAAUGUGAAUUGCAGAAUUCAGUGAAUCAUCGAAUCUUUGAACGCAUAUUGCGCUCUUUGGUAUUCCGAAGAGCAUGCUUGUUUGAGUAUCAGUAAACACCUCAACCUCUUCUUGAUUUUUCAAAAGGAGGGUGGACUUGAGCUAUCCCAACAACCUUUACCGGUCGGCGGGCGGCUUGAAAUGCAGGUGCAGCUGGACUUUUAUCUGAGCUAAAAGCAUAUCUAUUUAGUCCUCGUCAAACAGGAUUAUUACUUUUGCUGCAGCUAACAUAAAGGAUAAUUGUCCUCUUUGCUGACUGAUGCAGGAUUUUACGACACUUGAUGUGUUGUUCAACUCGAUCUCAAAUCAAGUAAGACUACCCGCUGAACUUAAGCAUAUCAAUAAGCGGAGGA